CCUCCUAAUUAAUUUCCCACCUCCCCAAAAGCUUAUCAAUUCCCAUUAAUUUCCAUCACCCCCAUUUAUUAUUAUUAUUUUGUUCUAACUUCACCAACAACUCCUGACUUCCCCAUUAACUUCCCAUACUUUCCCCUCCCCCAUAAACUCAUCAUCCCACUCCAUGCCGAAGUCCUCAUCACCCAUUAACUCUUCUCAAACCCACUGACUUUUCUCACUAUAGUCAUCAUUUUCACCUCUUCUCUAACCCACAACCAGGAAUGUCUCCAACACCAAGACAACACCCUUGAAAUUCCAACGAGAGCAGCACUGUCCCGCAACUCCUACGAUCUCCCAUUCAUCAACUGAGGAACACGAACUCAUCCAUUCAUCCCCAUGGCUCCAAAACACAAAAAAAGCAAUGAAGCAACAACUUCCAACUCACCGACAGCAUUGCAACACCGAUCUACAAGGGGUAACCCUUCGCCUCCUUCUAAUAACCCUGAUGGUAUUAUCUUUGACCCUGAUCUUAAUCAAGAGGAUAAUUGGCAGCCACCUGAAGGUGACUUGCCUUACGAACUACCUCCUCGGGUACCCCUACAACAACCGGUUCCACACACUUUGCUCCAUGCUACAUCCACAUCUAGCGCGUCCUCUAAUUGGAUCAACAGGUUCAACAUGUUAGAGCGGGGGCAACAACACUUAAAAGAGUCUGUCCACUCCUUACGACAAGAUAUGGGCACACAAUUCGCUGCAAUUAACACGCGUCUGGAUGGUUUUGGCGCUACACUAGGGACGAUGAACCAGUUGAUACAAGAUUUGCACCACUUUUCUUUACCUCAUGAUUAUCCACCUCCACCGCCUCCUCAAUGAGUGGUGAGUCCUUCUUAUCCUCCUUUAAAUUACUCAAACACAUUGGGGACAAUGUGCAAUUCAAGCAUGGGGGAGUGAGUUGGUUUGUCGGGAUGAUAUUUCAUGUCUUUUAUGUAUGCUUUGGUGUGUUUUUCUCUGUGUUUUUGAGUGCUUGUUUUCUAUGUUUAUAGAGAGAGAGAAAGAGAGAAGAAGAAGAAAAAGAGUACCACUGUUUGCAAGCCCUUUUGACACUUAACAUCAUUUAUUUCGCAUGCCCCAUUGUUAAAAAAAUAUUUUUGUUUCAUGUUCAGUUGGUUAGGAUGUUAUCUGUUCGAGUUCCUCUUUGCCGACACUUAACUCUAAACAUUGGAAUAGAUAGGAAUGACUUUUGGCUUAACCCAUCUAAUUAAAACCUAAGCUUCUUUGGUGACUUAGACUACUUAUUGGUUACUGGAGAAACACUCAGCCUUGAAAAAAAAGGGGUCCUAAAGUCUGUUGCACCGAGUACCUAGCACCGCACCCUCAGAAGUAUGGUUGUCAUGUCAGUAGGUGUUAACUAUGAUGGGAUCUUCCAAAAAAAAAUGAAUAAAAAAAUAAUAAAUAAAUAAAAUGCAAGGAAACCGAGUGCUCCUUUGAGACCUUAAGUAGGAAGAGUAUGACCCAUUGUGAUGAGAUAUGUGUCUGUCACGAGGAGUUUAGGGCAAUCAACUAAAAAUAUGUAACUUUGCUAUACCAUCGUUCCAACGUUUAUGAGUCGAGUCACUUGCACUAACGUAUGAGAACGCCUACGGAUGCAUUUUCUUCAACUUUGAACUUGAGACAAGAUUUCUAUUUUGACAUUGGAUUGGGUGGAAUAAUGUUGCAUGUGAACUUGAGAAUAGUGGAUACCUUUGUGCUUAAUUUCUAUUUUCUUUGAAUCUGUACCCUCUCAUGUGUGUGUUUCCAUCUGUUUUGCUUGAGGACAAGCAAUAGUUCAAGCAUAGGGGAGUGAUAAACACGAAUAUUCUCUAUAUUUUGACUAUGUUUCACCUACAGAUUCGUUGUUAUUUAAUGUAUUUCCUUGCAUUUUGGCCAUGUUAAGCUCCCUAGUUCUUGUUUACUGCUCUAUUUAUAUAUUGUGUAGGAAUUACUGGAGCUUAGCACGGAUUCAGAGUCAAGAAGGAGUCAAGGAAUGCAUGGAAAGAGACUACACGGUCCCCUAGUGUUCAACAACACAGGCGUGUUGAUUACAGAAGAAAACCCCAGAGAGCAGAGCGAAACAGAGUUAAACACGGUUUGGUCGUGUUAAUGUACACAGCCGUGUUGGUAUCAGUAUUCAGUUAUUACGAGAUUUGAAGCAAGAUUUGAAGUUAUCUGUUAACGCGAUCUUUCCCAGAACUUAAAUGAGGACGCCCAGAGGCAUGAAAAACGACCGGAGGCUAGAGAUUUCAAUUAUUCUUUCUUCUUCUUCUCCACAUCUCUCUAAAAACUCUUAGAUUAGGUUUUCUUUUGAUUUGGAAUCUGCUGUUUGUGGAGAAUUGUGUGCAACUUCAACACUACAGUUUAUCUUUCUGAUCUCUCUCGUUUUUCAGUUUGUGAUUAUGAUCUUACAUAUUGUUAUCAUGUUUUCUAUUUCAA